AGGCCCGUCGUUCAACGGUAGGACAGCAGUCUCCAAAACCGCCAAUGUCGGUUCGAUUCCGGCCGGGUCUGCCA
rnacentral:tRNA from 1 species